rnacentral:tRNA from 1 species
GGGCGUAUAGCUCAGCCGGGAGAGCACAUGCCUUACAAGCAUGGGGUCACAGGUUCAAGCCCUGUUACGCCCACCA